rnacentral:tRNA from 1 species
AAGAAAGUGGCAGAGUGGUUACGUGGUUGGCUUGAAACCAACAUAUGGGGGUUCAAUUCCUUCCUUUCUUG